rnacentral:ncRNA from 1 species
GCAAAGGCUUUGAUGGGAAAGAGUAAUAAAAGUAUGGCACUUAAAGAGAGUUUCCGGUGUGGUGUGAGGAAAUAGGUCAGCUUCUAUGAAUACGUCCCUGAGCCAGGCACCGAAAUGCGUAAAGAGUAGGCUGCCUCGGAAGACUGCACCCGUUACCGUGCUAGGGUAUGAAUGUACCCGAUAAGUUUUCUCAUGGCAACAUGAGAGAUAAAUUAAGGUGGUACCAUGGAGCUUAUGUCUUCAUCCUUUCA